rnacentral:rRNA from 1 species
UUGAACGCUGGCGGCAUGCCUUACACAUGCAAGUCGAACGGCAGCACGGGAGCGAUCCUGGUGGCGAGUGGCGAACGGGUGAGUAAUAUAUCGGAACGUGCCCAGUCGUGGGGGAUAACGUAGCGAAAGCUACGCUAAUACCGCAUACGAUCUACGGAUGAAAGCGGGGGACUCGCAAGAGCCUCGCGCGAUUGGAGCGGCCGAUAUCAGAUUAGGUAGUUGGUGGGGUAAAGGCUCACCAAGCCAACGAUCUGUAGCUGGUCUGAGAGGACGACCAGCCACACUGGAACUGAGACACGGUCCAGACUCCUACGGGAGGCAGCAGUGGGGAAUUUUGGACAAUGGACGCAAGUCUGAUCCAGCCAUUCCGCGUGCAGGAUGAAGGCCCUCGGGUUGUAAACUGCUUUUGUACGGAACGAAAAGGUUUCUAUUAAUACUAGGAGCUCAUGACGGUACCGUAAGAAUAAGCACCGGCUAACUACGUG